rnacentral:rRNA from 1 species
UACGUAGGUGGCAAGCGUUGUCCGGAUUUACUGGGCGUAAAGGGCGUGCAGGCGGUUUGUUAAGUCUAGGGUGAAAGCUCCCGGCUCAACUGGGGGAGGUCCUUGGAUACUGGCAGACUUGAGGAGGGUAGAGGAGAGUGGAAUUCCCGGUGUAGUGGUGAUAUGCGUAGAUAUCGGGAGGAACACCAGUGGCGAAGGCGGCUCUCUGGGCCCUACCUGACGCUGAGACGCGAAAGCGUGGGGAGCGAACCGG